GACGAACGCUGGCGGCGUGCCUAACACAUGCAAGUCGAGCGAAGUGAGUACUACGGUACGAACUUAGCGGCGGGCGGGUGAGUAACGCGUGGACAAUCUACCCUGUAGACUGGGAUAACACCUCGAAAGGGGUGCUAAUACCGGAUAAUGUCGAGAAGCGGCAUCGCUUUUCGAAGAAAGGAGAGAAUCCGCUAUAGGAGGAGUCCGCGUCCCAUUAGCUAGUUGGUGAGGGUAACGGCCCACCAAGGCGACGAUGGGUAGCCGGCCUGAGAGGGUGAACGGCCACACUGGAACUGAGACACGGUCCAGACUCCUAUGGGAGGCAGCAGUGGGGAAUAUUGUGCAAUGGGGGAAACCCUGACACAGCAACGCCGCGUGAGCGAAGAAGGCCUUCGGGUUGUAAAGCUCAAUAGUAUGGGAAGAUAAUGACGGUACCAUACGAAAGCCCCGGCUAACUACGUGCCAGCCGCCGCAGUAA
rnacentral:rRNA from 1 species